rnacentral:misc_RNA from 1 species
GAUGAAGAACGCAGCGAAAUGCGAUAAGUAAUGUGAAUUGCAGAAUUCAGUGAAUCAUCGAAUCUUUGAACGCACAUUGCGCCCCUUGGUAUUCCGAGGGGCAUGCCUGUUCGAGCGUCAUUAUAACCCCUCAAGCUUAGCUUGGUGUUGGGGCCUGCUGUAAUAGAGCAGCCCUUAAAAUCAGUGGCGGUGCCAUUAGGCUCUAAGCGUAGUAAUUCUUCUCGCUAUAGGGUUCUGGUGGAUGCUUGCCAUUAACCGCUAAUUUUCUAUGGUUGACCUCGGAUCAGGUAGGGAUACCCGCUGAACUUAAGCAUAUCAAUAAGCGGAGGA